rnacentral:rRNA from 1 species
ACACUCCUACGGGAGGCAGCAGUGGGGAAUAUUGGACAAUGGGCGCAAGCCUGAUCCAGCCAUGCCGCGUGAGUGAUGAAGGCCCUAGGGUUGUAAAGCUCUUUCACCGGUGAAGAUAAUGACGGUAACCGGAGAAGAAGCCCCGGCUAACUUCGUGCCAGCAGCCGCGGUAAUACGAAGGGGGCUAGCGUUGUUCGGAUUUACUGGGCGUAAAGCGCACGUAGGCGGACUAUUAAGUCAGGGGUGAAAUCCCGGGGCUCAACCCCGGAACUGCCUUUGAUACUGGUAGUCUUGAGUUCGGGAGAGGUGAGUGGAAUUCCGAGUGUAGAGGUGAAAUUCGUAGAUAUUCGGAGGAACACCAGUGGCGAAGGCGGCUCACUGGCUCGAUACUGACGCUGAGGUGCGAAAGCGUGGGGAGCAAACAGGAUUAGAAACCCCUGUAGUCCC